GGGAUUUCAAGAGAGAUGGCUGAGAAAAGCGUUGGAAAGGGGCAACGGAGCCCUUUCUGCGUGCCAGGCGCGCACCCCUCAAGGAAGCUGCUUCCCCCUGGAGAUGGCCUUGUGACAUUCUUGCGCCCGGGUCGGACAGAUUGUACAAGGGAAAUAGCAUCGUCUGCGUUUUAUUGAUGAGGAAACUAAGGCUUGGAGAGAUUUCGUGACUGGCCCAAUUCAUCACGUUAGAAAGUAGCAGAGCUGAGCCUCCAGCCCUGAUACGUCUGACUCCAAAAUCCAUUGCAAUUGGCUCAGGAGAAGCUCACACCCAUCGCGAAUACGUCAAAUCUACUCUGACUGCCGGAGCGUGUCACUCGUUGGUCUAAAGCAUGUUUAUAUUACAUGAAAAAUGCCUUCUC